rnacentral:rRNA from 1 species
UACGUAGGUGGCAAGCGUUGUCCGGAUUCACUGGGUGUAAAGGGUGCGCAGGCGGAUUGGCAAGUCAGAGGUGAAAUCUCACGGCUUAACCGUGAAACUGCCUUUGAUACUGCUAAUCUUGAGUUAGGGAGAGGUUGAUGGAAUUCCAGGUGUAGCGGUGAAAUGCGUAGAUAUCUGGAAGAACACCAGUGGCGAAGGCGGUCAACUGGCCCUUAACUGACGCUCAUGAACGAAAGCGUGGGUAGCGAACAGG